GACGAACGCUGGCGGCGUGCUUAACACAUGCCAGUCGAACGAAGAGCGAUGGAAGCUUGCUUCUAUCAAUCUUAGUGGCGAACGGGUGAGUAACGCGUAAUCAACCUGCCCUUCAGAGGGGGACAACAGUUGGAAACGACUGCUAAUACCGCAUACGAUCUAACCUCGGCAUCGAGGAUAGAUGAAAGGUGGCCUCUACAUGUAAGCUAUCACUGAAGGAGGGGAUUGCGUCUGAUUAGCUAGUUGGAGGGGUAACGGCCCACCAAGGCGAUGAUCAGUAGCCGGCUGGGAGGAAGGACCGGCAAAAUGGGAACGAGGACAGGGCCCAGACUCCACGGGAGGCAGCAGUGGGGAAUCUUCCGCAAUGGACGAAAGUCUGACGGAGCAACGCCGCGUGAGUGAUGACGGCCUUCGGGUUGUAAAGCUCUGUUAAUCGGGACGAAAGGCCUUCUUGCGAAUAGUUAGAAGGAUUGACGGUACCGGAAUAGAAAGCCACGGCUAACUACGUG
rnacentral:rRNA from 1 species